UAUACUGAUGGUUACCAGCCUGCAUCUAGCAACCCCCAGGGGGAAUCGGGGGCAGGGCCUGGAGCACUUGUAUUACAUCGGUGUGCUGAUGUCACUUCCAGUUUUUACUUAAAGUAACUUUUGAGAUGCUCUAACAUUUUCAGAAACUCUGUGGUUUUACCAUAGAGUUCUUGUACAUACUAGAACGUCCACAAUAUCACAUCUGGUUUUACUAGAAGUGACGUCCGCAUGGUGGCCCAUGAUCCAUUUCUUUCCCCGUUUCAUCCCGUUCGUGCCUCAGAGCCAGAAUGCUGGGAAUUCUUCCAUUGUAGCAGGAGGUCCAGUAUCCCUACUAUCACACAGCAUAAUCCUCUCCUCCCUCCAAUACUUUCACACAGCGAAGCAGAAUUAAAUAUUGUAUUCACAACUCUGGGCUGGUGAUUCCUGACCCACUCAGCUGUAUCUGCUUGGUCCUUCCAAGGGUUGACAGUUCCCAGUUGGGAAAUUGCUAGUGAUUUGGGGGUGGAGCCUAAAGAGGUUGGGGUUUGGGGAGGGGAGGGAUCUCAGCAGAGUCUACCUUCCAGACCAGCCAUUUUCUCUAGGGGAACUGAUCUCUAGUCUGGAGAUCAGCUCUAAUUCCAGAAGAUCUGCAGGUGCCACCAUAGGCUGGCAACCAUAGGACCCGUCGGGACAUUGUGCAGCCCAGCUGCUGCAGAAUGAUUGGCAGCCUGUCUGAUGGAGGUAGUUGCAAAUCCCCAGGGCAAUCUGUUUCCUAUCUAGCCUCUAAUACACAGGUGUCAAACUUGCGGCCCUUCAGAUGUUAUGGACUACAGUUCCCAUCAUCCACUGCCAGCAUGAGCAAUUGGCCAUGCUGGCAGGGGAUGAUGGGAACUGUAGUCCAUAACAUCUGGAGGGCCGCGAGUUUGACAUCUAUGCUCUAAUGCAAGAACUUUUAACUAGCUGUGCGCUUGCUGAACUGCAGUGGGGAGAGAGACUCCAGAUUUCAACUUUCCCCAGCAUAGGGCUCGCAAAGUAUGUUGGAGGAGUGGAUCCCAUAAGUCACAGGUGUCAACUGCAGGGAUGAUGGGAACUGUAGUCCAUAACAUCUGGAGGGCCGUGAGUUUGACACCUGUGCCAUAAGUCCACUGCAGAACUUACACGGAUUGCACCUUUAAAGCAUGAAAAGAAAUAUGACCAUCGUUACGUUGACGGGAACAGACCGUUUAAAAUGUUUUUAAAACCGCCCUGCAUUGCUUUUUACCAGUUCUGACUUUUGUUUUUCAUGUGGUUUUUUUUUUUAGCAGAGCUGAAAAUAAUUCCGAAAGACCACAAGCAUUUUUUUUCCCAAAAAGCAAAACAGCCACAUUGCAUCAGUUGGAAAUGUCUUACAUUAAGAAUUUCUUGAAUGUUGUGUAUAUACUGUAUUUGAAAGAGCGCUUUGGAAAUAGUUUGUACAUUAUUUCCUAAUUUAUACAUGAUUUUUAGUGUUAAUAUUUCUAACUGUUAAUAACGAAAUAUUUAAUGGUGUUGUCCAUUUUUAUGUAUUGAUGUGGAAACGAAAAGGUGAUGCCAGCAUUUUGACUUUUUUCAUUAACUGUAUAAUAUUUUCCGUUUUGUAAUACAGAAUGUCUGGAAAAUGUUUUUAGGUUAAAAUGAAUGGUUUGUGAAGCCAAGUAAUGAGAUUUUUUUUUCGUACGUCGGAAAGAUUUUUAAAAGGACUGAUGUAAUCAUGUUUGAAGUCUGUUUUUUUAAUUUUAUUGCAAGUUUAAUGAAAAUGAUUCAUAAUCUCAUUCCAUUGAUAAUCUGAAAUAUUUCAAGUAAAAUUCACUGCAUGAGAAAAAAAAA